rnacentral:rRNA from 1 species
GACGAACGCUGGCGGCGUGCUUAACACAUGCAAGUCGAACGGAAAGGCCCUGCUUUUGUGGGGUGCUCGAGUGGCGAACGGGUGAGUAACACGUGAGUAACCUGCCCUUGACUUUGGGAUAACUUCAGGAAACUGGGGCUAAUACCGGAUAGGAGCUCCUGCUGCAUGGUGGGGGUUGGAAAGUUUCGGCGGUUGGGGAUGGACUCGCGGCUUAUCAGCUUGUUGGUGGGGUAGUGGCUUACCAAGGCUUUGACGGGUAGCCGGCCUGAGAGGGUGACCGGCCACAUUGGGACUGAGAUACGGCCCAGACUCCAACGUGAGGCAGCAGUGGGGAAUAUUGCACAAUGGGCGGAAGCCUGAUGCAGCAACGCCGCGUGCGGGAUGACGGCCUUCGGGUUGUAAACCGCUUUCGCCUGUGACGAAGCGUGAGUGACGGUAAUGGGUAAAGAAGCACCGGCUAACUACGUG